UCCGCGUUAUUCGCGGCAGUCUCUUUAGAGUGCCCAACUAAAUGAUGGCAACUAAAAACGAGGGUUGCGCUCGUUGCGGGACUUAACCCAACAUCUCACGACACGAGCUGACGACAGCCAUGCAGCACCUGUGUGGGAAGCUCUAUUGCUAGAGAGGGACGAUCUCUCGUCCUGUCUUCCCCAUGUCAAGCCCUGGUAAGGUUCUGCGCGUUGCGUCGAAUUAAACCACAUGCUCCACCGCUUGUGCGGGCCCCCGUCAAUUCUUUUGAGUUUCACCCUUGCGAGCGUACUCCCCAGGCGGAACACUUAACGCGUUAGCUGCGGCUCCGAGCCGUUGACGGGCCCAAAACCUAGUGUUCAUCGUUUACGGCGUGGACUAC
rnacentral:misc_RNA from 1 species